UAAUAUCUACUCAGAUCUUUGAUUAUUUUAUAUAGUCUUAGAUUUGGAUUUAAUCAGAGAAGUAACCUAUAUGAGUAGAUUACUCUUUGGAAAAAUAAAGGCAGUUAUAGUGAAACCUAUAUUAAACGUGAUAUUAAAAAGUUUCGUUUUUAAGGACUACAUCUUGGACUUGCCUUUAACCCACUUAAUUCUUUUU
rnacentral:misc_RNA from 1 species